AGAAUAUCCAAGGUAUCUCCAAGCACCCAAUUCAAAUUACUAAACCUCAAAAUUUUAAAGGUAAGGAGGACGAAAUCCUCACCAUCUCCCCAAGGACCAUGUUUGUUUCAUCUGAAGGCCACACCUUCCUAGCAGCAGACUUUUCACAGAUUGAAUUGCGCAUUCUUGCACACUUAUCUGGGGAUCCAGAACUUUUGAAGUUAUUCCAGGAAUCUGAAAGAGAUGAUGUAUUUUCUACCCUGACUUCACAGUGGUA